rnacentral:rRNA from 1 species
UACAGAGGUCUCACGCGUUGUUCGGAUUCAUUGGGCGUAAAGGGUGCGUAGGUGGCAUGGUAAGUCGGAUGUGAAAUCCCGGGGCUCAACCCCGGAACUGCAUUCGAUACUGCUGCGCUAGAGUACUGGAGAGGAGAUUGGAAUUUACGGUGUAGCAGUGAAAUGCGUAGAUAUCGUAAGGAAGACCAGUGGCGAAGGCGGAUCUCUGGACAGUUACUGACACUGAGGCACGAAGGCCAGGGGAGCAAACGGG